AUGGACGCCGCUGAUGCCGCCUCCCCGUGUGAUGGGCACAGGACGGUGUGGUCGGAACCGCCGAAGCGGCCGGCCGGCCGGACCAAGUUCAAGGAGACGCGCCACCCGCUGUACCGCGGCGUGCGGCGACGGGGCCCCGCCGGCCGGUGGGUGUGCGAGGUGCGCGUGCUCGGGAUGAGGGGCUCCAGGCUUUGGCUCGGCACCUUCACCACCGCCGAGAUGGCAGCGCGCGCGCACGACGCCGCCGUUCUCGCGCUCUCCGGCCGCGCCGCUUGCCUCAACUUCGCCGACUCCGCCUGGCGGAUGCUCCCCGUCCUCGCCGGCCCGUUCAGCACGGCCAAGGAGAUCAAGGAUGCCGUCGCCGUCGCCGUCCUGGCGUUCCAAAGGCAGCACCCGGUCGCGUCCAUGGCACCAUUGUCCCCUGCGCGGACAACCGAUGACGAGAAGGAAAUCGAUGGCUUGCCGGCACCGAGCGCCCUGUCCAUGUCCAGCGAGCUGUUGAAUGAGCACUGGUUUGGCGGCAUGGAUGCCGGAUCGUGCUACUCGGAGUUCAUGGAGUCGCCGGACACCAGACCAUGGCGGGAAGACUUUGAGCUCGGUGGCGUCGAGACACCGCCAUGGAGCUACUUGUUCGACUAA
rnacentral:rRNA from 1 species